AUGCUACCAAUUAAAAAAAAAAAAAGAUUCAAAAAAAGAAAGGAGGAGAAGCUAAUUAUUAAUUAUGCUAGUCCGGAAAUAUAUAGUACUCACAUGAGCUACUAGUCCUCAUAUUCAUAGUCCUUUCAGCUACAAUUCAUAUGAAGAAAAUCAGUCACGAAUAUCAUCUGCAUGCAUUAAUUUACCUGCGAAAAAUGAAGGAACCCAAUUGUUAUCGAUCGUGGGAAGAGAAGUGAAAUGCUUAUUUGUAGAGGUGAAUGGCAGGGCAAUUCUCCUUUGGCAGAAGAGAAAUAUGCAUGUAUGUACAUGUUUCUCUCUGCCAAAGGAGGACUGCACUGUUAUUCCUAAACCCCACAUCUGCUUCCUUAAUCCAGUACCUCAUGCCCGAGUUUCUACAGUAAUUCCACACUUCUUUUAUAGUGCAUGAUAUGCACCAGAAUCUGGAUAUGCCAGGGAAGAGAAAGAGGAUAUGCCACUACAAUUCCUGUACAUGUUCCAUUCUCAUCACUCAUCAGCUUAUGGCUUCGUGGUCCCUGUUCCCUCUCACCAUCACUACUCUUCCACUGAAGACGAAGGGCUUCUGACAGUAUCUUCGUUUCAUCUUCAACUUGGAGUUUUUGGUUACUUUCUACGCAUUUAACUGUAAGAUAUUAUAUGGGGUUUUGUCAUUCGACUCAUUCCACAUUCCACUGAAGAGGAUGACACCUCAUGUACUCAAGCUUUUUACAUCACAUUUAAUUAGUUCUAAUAAGUGGCAAAAAAAAAAAAAGCAACUGAAAGAGCAUAUUCGAGGAGAUCUAACAAUAUGCUAUAUCUCCUUGUCAAUGUCACCCGGCCGCUGCAUGGUCAUUCUUAUCUUGGUUUCUGACCUUUAGCUUUCUUUUCCAACUUUAUAUACAUUUGGUCAUUCAAAAAGUUCCUGGAAAGGGAAUUCACAUGGUUGAAAACUUCGGGCUGAAUAUGCCUGUAGAGUACUUCUUUACUAGUAGUUCAUUUCAGCAAACAUGUAUACCUUUAUGUAAUAAUGUAUUUUACUUUGAGAUUAAUAUAUAUGAAAGUGGUUGAUGUCUCAAUUUUGAGUAAUUAUAUAUGUUUAUUUUGUGUUUAUUAAAAUUGAUGUGGCUUUUUAAAAUCAUCAUUGGAAUUAUGACAGAUCAUUAUUGACUUUUGAUCCAAUUGUGAUUUUAAAAGAUACAUCAAUUUUAAUUGAUACAAGAUAAACGUAGAAGUUAACAUGUAUCACUCAUCAAUUUUAUAUUCUUUUUCUUUCUUUCUAACUUUUUUUUUUUUUUGUCUGUGUAAGAAAUUUCCUAAUUAUAUUAAAGUGUGCCGGUAUGACACGUGUUUAUUGUGAUUUAAAUUAAACACAAUUACAGAUAUUCAAUAAUUUAUUCUAAAUAAGAAAUUAAUUGUGGAAUCGAAAUCAAAUUGAUUUAAAUUGAUUUUUAUUCUGAUUCCUAUUUCUUGAUUGGAGGAAUAAAUAAGGUAAAAAAUUAUGAUUAAAGGUUCAUGACUUACCUAUAAAUAAAUAAAACUUCUACUAAUUAUUAUUUUCAGGUUCCUGUUUCUGAAGCUCAUUGAGUCGCUUGAGUAAACAUGACAGGACAUAAUUUUGAAUUCUUUUCCGUGCGUAUAUUAGCAUAUAUAUAUAUGACGACAGGCAGCUAAAUUACAGCCAUGCACGACUGGUAACACAAAGAAAGGCACCCGAAAGAAAGCCACAGAGAAGGAAAUAACCAACACAAAAAAUUACCCAGAAACCAAUUAAGCUGCGCCAAGCACCCAGGACAACUAAACAUAAUGCAGAAUAUUUUCAGAGAUAUCCCCACACGUAAGGGCAAGGUUCUCUGUACCUACGUGUAUUGUGCAACAAGCUAGGCUACUCGAUCACGCUAAUUAAAGAAAGCAAUGUCUGAAGAGAACCAGAGGCUGACUUGUUGUAGAAUAUGAUUCAACUGCCAGCAUCUUCCCGGCCCCACAAAUAAUCUAAAGACGGUAGAAUUCAUUAAGCUUUUCACGUGGAAUCAAGUUCGUGCCCAAAAAUCAGCGUGACAGUUGGUUUCCUAUGUCAAACCAACCACACCAUUAAGGUGAAAGAAUGUAUUACAAUCUGAAAUUAUCCUAUAUAGAAAAAAAAAAUAUAUAUAUAUAUAUAUAUAUAUAUAUACCCACUUCAACUUGUUUCUGCCUUCAUUCACCUCAUUUUUUGUGGCGCAAAUUGCUUGAAAUCCGGACGGUUCGAUUAUAAUCCAUGGACGUCCACAUAGCCAUUGUCUCCCGGACAAAAUUUCUGCUCUCUCUAAAAUUAUACGUUAACGUAACAUAAAGACAAUAAAAAAAAAAAAAGAAUGACGUCUUCUCUACUCUCUUUAUACGUUAACAUAACGUAUAAGAAUCACAACUCUUCGCAAAAUUUUAUGCAAAACUCUUCUCAAGCAAAAAUAUCUUGAGAAAUCACAACUCUUCUUAAAAUUAUAAAUAUAUGUUAUAGAAGUCUAGAGCCUCAAUUGUUGAUGUAUUUCGAUUAAAAAUCAAUAAGAGUCAAUUAAUCAAGGAAUUGAUGCAAAAAGGAUAGACAACCACUCAAAAGUAUCUUAUUGAUUUCUAAUCAAAAUACAUCAACCAUUGAGACUUUAUAUGACCAUGACAUAUAUUUAUACUACAUCCACUCUUAAUCCUAACAAAGACUUGAAACAAAGUCCGUUUACAAAAAUUUGCUGUAGCCCGUUCGAAUUGAGCCAUGUAGUAGUUUGAAUUGGUAAAAAUUUGAGCUUGUUCCAAAUUCAGUUUGAACUAAGAUUUGGGAGUACGCACGCUACUACAACUUCAUAAUAACUUAGUUCCGAGUUUAUUUUGAAUUGAACAAUGGUCGUGCCUUUUCUGGAAGUCCUCUGGAGUGUCUCGUUGAAGAAAAUAACAAACUUAGUUUAGGAAUGACAUAGAGCUACUAGAAAACAUGAGUUGCUCCAC
rnacentral:precursor_RNA from 1 species